rnacentral:sRNA from 1 species
UUUCCGCUUUAAAGGCCUUUAUAAUCUCUAUUGGAUUUAAGGUUAUUUUCUCGUGCUUUAACUUUGUUAACAUAUAUGGGGCUUGCUGGAGUAGGAUACCUAGGUUCUGGUGGUGCCAUUUUGCCCAGGUUUUUGUUAAUUUUGUUCUUGAGCUGCCUUUUACCAAAGUGACUGUCCCAGUUACUGGCAGGCCUCCAGGAAUUCAGGCAGAGUUUGCACAAUGGAAUACAGGAGACCAUGUGCAGUUUAGGACCCUUUUGUAUGAUUUAGAAGGUAUUGGUUUGCAGGGAACUUGAGAAAGGGAAUUUUUACCUGAUUUUCCCCACUGCAUGAAGUCUCAGAGAAUGGAGAUACAGGAGGAAAAUGGAACACAGGGGAUAACAUUCAGUUUGCUUUUGCUGCGUGGCCCGUGGAGGCAAGCAGUCUUGGGCAGGUUCCUACCAAAUUAUCCCUGGGUGCAUGUAGGUCUCCAGAAAAGUAGGAAGAGCUCAGGGGACAGGACAUACCUCAUAGGUGAUGAACAUAUGAAACAUGGAAGGCACAGUUUGUGAGGGAGGGGCCCAAAUACUUGUCCCUGAUGCUUUCAGGCCUCCAGGAAUGCUACUGAACUAUAGGUUGGAAAUGGAGCUCUAGCUCAAUACAUUUUGUAAAUAAAAAAUCCAUUCAAACUAGAAAAUUUAUGAAUAUUUGUUAUCCAUUUUAAAAACAGUUUUCCCAUUAGUUUUGGUUGGGGAUCAAUAGUGAGUAACAUUUUAUUCAAUAAGUCGGGUACACUUUUAGACAUAUAUCUUUAUUGAGGUUAUCUACUUGACACUGGACUCUAGAGAACUAAUGCCUAAUUUAUCUAAAUAUACUAAUGGACAUGGAGUAACACAAGAAAUCCAAAACUAGGCCAAUCAUUCUGUAGAUUUAGUGAUGUUCAUAUCCAUUUUUGGUUCAUGCAAGGCUUAAUAUGGAGUUAAGAAUGCUGCCACAUAAGGGACCAGUUUUUCAGGAAAUACUGUAUACCUGUGGUGCAGCUUCUGAGGUGUCCAUUUUUGUGUUUGUGGUAGCAGUAAGUCAAAUAUUGACUGAUCAAUAGAAUCAUUUGGGCCAACUUAAAAAUUUACACUACAAACAUUAAUUGGACCUAAUUUUGCUAAUUUAUUUCUGCAUCAUUUUGUCUACUCCAUUAGUCUACUUGUCUGUUUCAUGUGAGUAUCAAACUGUUCAUGCUACUAUAGUUCUGUAGUAUAAUUUGAAGUGUGGUACUGUUAUACCAUAACAGUAUUUUUACUCCUUAAGAAUUCUUUGACUAUGCUUGGUCCUUUAUGGUCCCAUAUGAUAUCGUCUAUAGUUGUUUUAAACCUGUAAAUAUUGUAUCAGAAGUUUUAUAUUUAGCAUUAAAUGUGUAAAUUAAAUUUAGUUAUAUGGGUGUUGUGUUUCUUGGCUUCUGUUUCAUCUUUGCUUCUCUGGCCUGGAUGGUCAUUGAGCAGGAGAUCUCUACCCAAGAUAUUGUCUGGACUUCUGUAGACAAGGGUGGUUUCUGGUUGAGCAGAAAAUUUCUGCUCAAGUUAGAAGCUAAAAUCAAAGUGCGGAGAAUGAGCAGAGUAAUUAUAGUUUGAAAGGAUAGGCACUAAGAAAGUUGGGACACAUGCUGCUGUGGGGAGCUCUGGUGCCUAGUGUCCUGCUAAAUGUUUUUUCAUGAAAAUUCAUUGUAAUCUUUGUAUAACAACUGCUUGAACCCCAAACCAUGACAUGGUCACUGCAGGCAUUAAUAACCAAGAGCUACCAUAAUAUUAUAUAUAGGAUUCAGAACUAUUUUAAGAUGAGUUUGCCUAAAUAAAAAAGAUUUAAAUGCAAAGACAAUAUUAGUGUGAAUGAGGUUUACACUGUGUAGAUUAAGGUAACAUAUGUUUGCUAGUAUUUGCAUUUUCUUUCCUAUUUCCAGUUCUCAAAAGCCUAUGGCCCUGUGUUCACUCUGUAUUUGGGCUCACAGCCCACUGUCAUAUUGCAUGGAUAUGAAGCAGUGAAGGAAACUCUGAUUGAUCAUGGGGAGGAGUUUUCUGGUAGAGGAAGCUUUCCAAUGGUUGAAAAAGCUUUUAAAUGUUUUGGCAUUGUUUUUAGCAAUGGAAACAGAUAGAAAGAGAUAAGACAAUUCAUAAUUAUGACCCUUCAGAACUUGGGAAUGGGAAAAAGGAACAUUGAAGACCAUGUUCAAGAGGAAGCACAGUGCCUAGUGGAAGAGCUGAGGAAAACCAAGGAAUUUGAUUUAUCCCAAUGAAGAAAGUGACUGCAAGAAUUCAUCUGUUCUCAAGGUCUGAAUUAGAUGAAGAAAAUAUUGUGCAACUAUGGACCAAUGUAUGUUCAAGGUGUUUACCACAGAUUACCUGCCAGAGAACUCAAAGGACUAGCCUUGAAGGAUUUUUCAACAGGUAAGAUGUCUUCAUUUCACUCAGUCAUCAUUACCAUUAAAGCCAAUUGAACAGAAAGUUAAAUAUUGAUAUUGUGAAUAACAACCUGCAGGAUACAAGUUGCAUCUUCACAGCAUCUUUCAGGAAUGCUGUGCUUCAUCACUUAUGUCCUUACCUGUGAUGUGUGGGUGUUUAAUAAAAACAGGAGAGCAAAUAUCAUCGUUGUUCUUAUUGACUCUAUCCCAGCAAAAAACAGAUCAGUCACCAUUGAUCCCAGGUGUUCAAGUUCAAGUUCAAUUGCUGAUCGCUAUUUUCCUCAGAAUGGUUUGAUAAAAUUACCUAAUUAAUAUUGUUCUUGCACAAUCAACUACAAUUGAAUGGACAAUAUUGGACAAAUCCAUAUUGUUCAUAAUAUAGAAUCUAGAAAGUUCAUGAGUGGCAAAACCUAUUAUAGCAUUUGAAAGACUGUGGUAUAGGUGGUCUAAACUUCAUUAUCUACACUUACUUUUUCUGUUUGUCAAAAUUGCAUUCCCAAGAUUACAUGCUAGGGUGUGUGUGUGUGUGUGUGUGUGUGUGUGUGUGUGUGUGUGUGUGUGUGUAUCUGUGUGGUAUGUGAAUGUACAAUGCAUUAGUCUACAGAAAUUCUGAAAACAAGCUUGUAUUGUUUAUUGUCUAUUCCUACUAGAACACAUGAAGGAAAUACUUAAAUUUUAUCUUAUUUGAGCAUAAGAUAUAUUUAUUCAAAGAAAGCCUACACACUAAACAUAGUAAGAAUAUUAAAAGGCACUUACUCUUAUGAUUUACAUCUUCAUUAUAUCAUUAGAUCAAUACUGGGCCACAAUGAGUUUCUUUGU